rnacentral:rRNA from 1 species
AGUGAACGCUGGCGGUAGGCCUAACACAUGCAAGUCGAACGGCAGCACAGUAAGAGCUUGCUCUUACGGUUGGCGAGUGGCGGACGGGUGAAGAAUACAUCGGAAUCUACUUUUUCGUGGGGGAUAACGUAGGGAAACUUACGCUAAUACCGCAUACGACCUACGGGUGAAAGCAGGGGAUCUUCGGACCUUGCGCGAUUGAAUGAGCCGAUGUCGGGUUAGCUAGUUGGCGGGGUAAAGGCCCACCAAGGCGACGAUCCGUAGCUGGUCUGAGAGGAUGAUCAGCCAAACUGGAACUGAGACACGGUCCAGACUCCUACGGGAGGAAGCAGUGGGGAAUAUUGGACAAUGGGCGCAAGCCUGAUCCAGCCAUACCGCGUGGGUGAAGAAGGCCUUCGGGUUGUAAAGCCCUUUUGUUGGGAAAGAAAAGCAGCAGGUUAAUACCCCGCUGUUCUGACGGUACCCAAAGAAUAAGCACCGGCUAACUUCGUG